rnacentral:lncRNA from 10 species
AUGAAAGCAGAGGUCAAGGUCGGAGGAGUGAUGGGGAUGGAAGCAGAGGUCAAGGUCAGAGGAGUGAUGGGGGAUGGAAGCAGAGGUCAAGGUCGGAGGAGUGAUGGGGAUGGAAGCAGAGGUCAAGGUCGGAGGAGUGAUGGGGGAUGGAAGCAGAGGUCGGAGUGCAGCACUCUGAGGACGGAGGAAGGGCCAUGAGCCGAGGAAUGCGGGCAGCCUCUAGGAGCUGGAAAAGGCCGGAAACGGAUUCUCUCCUAGAGCCUUGAGAAGGGACGUGGCUCUGCAGAUGACACCUUGAUUUUGGAGACUUGAGAAGGGACGUGGCCCUGCAGACACCUCGAUUUUGGGCCAUGAGACCAAACCAUUUUGGACUUCUGACCUCCAGAACUGUAACAGACUUGUGUGAUUUCUAAGCCGCUGCGUUUGUGAUUUGUAAGCCGCUGCGUUUGUGAUUUGUUACAACCCACUUUUGGGAACAAUGACCCGGAAGGAGGGCGAGGAUAGAGAAGCCAGAGCCAGCACAGAGGUGCCAGGAGGCAGGAGCAGAGGAGGGGCGAGCUGUAUCCCAGACAAUAAGAGGGGGGAGUGUCUGGGGGCUGGUCGGGCCGCAUGAGAAGGGAGACGGAUGAGGCCACUGGCAGCCUUGACGGGAGCUGCUCCCUCUGGAAGGAAGGAAGGCCGCCCGGCUGCCAUGGACUGAAGGCUUUGCUCGCUUUGCCUCACCGAGAUGCCCCCUCUCUGCUGCUACAUCUCAGCACCCAGCAGGCACUCGGUACGCACUUAUGAGGAACACGCGACUGCUCUGACUCUUCACCCUCCUGCCACUGGGGACUCAGGCCUGGCCGCAAACACCCCCUCACUCAGGGCCCCUGUGCCGCUCGAGGUGGCUCAGGGCCUUUGCACUGGCUGCUCUCGUGGCCUGGACCACUCUUCUCAGAGGUCUCUGCGUGGCUGCCCACCGCUCAUCACCCAGGCCCCACACAGCAGCCACCAGCCAUGGGAGAGUGCCACUACUGAAAGGAUGGUAUUUUGAACACAUUGGGGUCCAUGAAGUAAAUUUGCCUUUUUUUAACGUGCUGACUAGAACACUUAAGAUGGCAUGUGCAGCUCACAUAACACAUCCCCCGACAGGACUCUAAGCCAGGCUGGCAACUUCCCUGACGGGGCCAGGCAGUCAACACUUCCAGCUCCUCGGGCCCUCUGUGGUCAUCACGGUGGCAAGUGUCAGCCCCAGGUGACAUGAGUGGGUGGGUGUGGCUGUGCACCAAGACUUCACCCAGAACGUGAGUCGGCCCUUGCCUGCUGUGUGGUCAAGAAACCAAACCUGCCCAGAGAGGCCUGGCUUUGCCCUCUGCCCCUGGGAAGUCAUCUCUGAGCCCUUGGAGCCUCACGCAUGAUAAGGAGGGUCUGCCUGCCCCGGGGGACUCAGGCCAGCCCAAAAGCAAGAUGAAUUUGGGGUAGAGUUUGGACCAGGGGGUAUCCUUGACUUUCAGGGGGCGGGAGGCUGAGGUCAGCCACACAGAACGGGGAGGAGUCCCCAGUAAGAACCCAGGACACCACGGUCUGAGGAGAAUUCCUGGCCGGCAAGACCCCCUGCGUGCGGGCGGGGUGCGGGGAGAGGACAGCUGGUAACUGCGCUCCCUGGAGCCUUCGUG